rnacentral:rRNA from 1 species
AUGCCCAGUAGACAGACCAUGGCGCUCUCCGUCUUCUCCCUCGCCUCGGCCUUCUCCCACCUCUUCCUCCCCUCCACCUCCGCUCCCCACCCUCUCCCUUUCCUCCUCCUCCAUCCCACCACCCGUCGUGCUGCUCGCCUCGUCCUCUCCGCCUCCGAGGCCGAUGCGGCUGAGCCGGUCGAGGCGGAGGCGCCUGCUGCCGACGACGGCCCCGAGGAGGUGCUCGCGGUCGAGGCCGAGGAGGACGCGCUUUCCGGGCUGGCGCUGCGCAAUUUGUGUCAAAUGCAGGUGCUCUGCCUCUCCACGGGCUCGUUCACCAUUCGUUCAACUUCAGAGCUCAUCAGGCACAACAGGAUAUACUCAUGUGUGCUACUAAAUGUCACGGAGAAGAAACAAAGAUGGCAAUUCUGCUACUAGUUGUUGUGUACUCCUAGUGUUGUAGUUCCUAUGUAGCAAUACGGAAAUAUUAAUGCUCAAAUAUGAUGAUGUGGCCUGCAGCGCACCUGCUUCGAUGCUGACCCAUCUGUUGUCAUCGCCUUCGAUGACGACAAGGACACCUCAAGCACCGUCAGCCUCGGCGUCGGCUUCUGCCACUACCACAUCGUCGUCACCUACCAGGGCGUCAAGGGGUGA